UACGUAGGUGGCAAGCGUUAUCCGGAUUUACUAGGUGUAAAGGGCGUGUAGGCGGGACUGCAAGUCAGAUGUGAAAACCACGGGCUCAACCUGUGGCCUGCAUUUGAAACUGUAGUUCUUGAGUACUGGAGAGGCAGACGGGAUUCCUAGUGUAGCGGUGAAAUGCGUAGAUAUUAGGAGGAACACCAGUGGCGAAGGCGGUCUGCUGGACAGCAACUGACGCUGAGGCGCGAAAGCGUGGGGAGCAAACAGG
rnacentral:rRNA from 1 species